AUUGAACGCUGGCGGCAGGCCUAAAACAUGCAAGUCGAACGAGUGGAGGAAGGGUGAGUAAUGUCUGGGAAACUGCCUGUUGGAGGGGGAUAACUACUGGAAACGGUAGCUAAUACCGCAUACCAUCAGAUGUGCCCAGAUGGGAUUAGCUAGUUGGUGGGGUAACGGCUCACCAAGGCGCCGAUCCCUAGCUGGUCUGAGAGGAUGACCAGCCACAAUGGAACUGAGACACGGUCCAGACGCCUACGGGAGGCAGCAGUGGGGAAUAUGGAACAAUGGGCUGAAGCCUGAUGCAGCCAUGCCGCGUGUAUGAAGAAGGCCUUCGGGUUGUAAAGUACUUUCAGCGGGGAGGCGUUACCCGCAGAAGAAGCACCGGCUAACUCCGUGCCAGCAGCCGCGGUAAUUC
rnacentral:rRNA from 1 species